GAGAACACAGCUUCACAGGCAGAACACAACACACAGAUGCAAGGUCUCCUGAUGGCAGAAAACCUUAUAACCAGAGACGGGGUUACUCCGUGUUAGCCAGGAUGGUCUCGAUCUCCUGACCUCGUGAUCCACCUGCCUUGGCCUCCCAAAGUGCUGGGAUUCUGUAAUCCCAGUGAGCCACCGCGCCUGGCCCAUAAUCAACCUCAGCUGCCAACGCCAGAAUCAACCUCAGCUGCCAAAUGCUAGACUGAAAAAAGAAUGUAAACAGCUUGAUGGAGGGGAGGAUCCUGGUGCACCUGUGGUUUUGACAGCUUUUGCUGCUGCUUGAGGAGGAAACAGGUUGCCUGUUUGUUCUUCAAGAGCACUUCUGGCAUCCAGGUAUUAUGCAGGCAUGCACUGCCAGCUGUGAAAGAUGCCGCUUCCUUGUCACUUCAGAGAAUGAUGCUUCUACAGAAGAUCCCUCUUGCUAUUUCAUUCAGGGAGCUCGGGAGAGGAAGACAAAAAGAAUCAAAUGCAAAGCACAGAUCAUUGAAAGGGCCAGGGUCUGAAGUGAGACAACUCGUGUCACAGUGUUUUCAAACUUGAGAAUGGUACAGUAAAUUAGAAUGACUUAAUUGUAGUGAUUUUAAAAAGAUAUGAGUCCUCUAAUGGAUGGAUUAAAGAAAAGAAUAGCAAGAAAAUGCACAUAUACCAAAUUUUGACUGCCCGUGUGUUUAUACAGCCAAUGUUCUGUUCUGGUCAAGAAGAAAAGUUCCAAAGAUCUUAAAGAUGUCCCAGAAAAGUUCUAGAGUACUAUCAGAUCUCACACUUUGCCUUGGAAGCUGUCAUUCCCCUCCAUUGGCCCCACAACUGCAGUAUAAUCUUCAGUGACAGGAGAAAAUCGACCUUGUUUGUACAGAAGUCUCAGCAGGAAUAGGCAGAUGCCUGUUUUUGCUGCCAAGGAUGGAGGAUUGGAAUGGGCCCAUUAUAUAUUUUGAGGCUUUGAAGAAAAGUCUCAGGAUAUGUUUUCCCAUUAAAAUACUGUUAUAAACAA
rnacentral:lncRNA from 1 species